CCUACGGGUGGCAGCAGUGGGGACUAUUGCACAAUGGGGGAAACCCUGAUGCAGCGACGCCGCGUGAGUGAAGAAGUAUCUCGGUACGUAAAGCUCUAUCAGCCGGGAAGAAAAUGACGGUACCUGACUAAGAAGCCCCGGCUAACUACGUGCCAGCAGCCGCGGUACUACGUAGGGGACAAGCGUUAUCCGGAUUUACUGGGUGUAAAGGGAGCGUAGACGGCAGCAAAAGUCUGGAGUGAAAUCCCGGGGCUUAACCCCGGAACUGCUUUGGAAACUGGGCGGCUGGAGUGCAGGAGGGGUAAGCGGAAUUCCUAGUGUAGCGGUGAAAUGCGGAGAUAUUAGGAGGAAAACCGGUGGCGAAGGCGGCUUACUGGACUGUAACUGACGUUGAGGCUCGAAAGCGUGGGGAGCAAACAGGAUUAGAUACCCGUGUAGUC
rnacentral:rRNA from 1 species